rnacentral:rRNA from 1 species
AUUGCCUCAGUAACGGCGAGUGAAGCGGCAACAGCUCAAAUUUGAAAGCUGGCCCCCCCCGGGGGUCCGCGUUGUAAUUUGUAGAGGAUGAUUCGGCGAGGGCUCCCGCCUAAGUCCCCUGGAACGGGGCGUCAUAGAGGGUGAGAAUCCCGUAUGCGGUGGGCUGCCUUAGCCAUGUGAAUCUCCUUCGACGAGUCGAGUUGUUUGGGAAUGCAGCUCUAAAUGGGAGGUAAAUUUCUUCUAAAGCUAAAUACCGGCCAGAGACCGAUAGCGCACAAGUAGAGUGAUCGAAAGAUGAAAAGCACUUUGGAAAGAGAGUUAAAAAGUACGUGAAAUUGUUGAAAGGGAAGCGCUUGCAGCCAGACUUGCCCGCAGUUGCUCAGCCGGUCUCCUGACCGGCGCACUCUUCUGCGGCCAGGCCAGCAUCAGUUCGGGCGGUCGGAUAAAGGCCCCGGGAACGUAGCUCCUCUCGGGGAGUGUUAUAGCCCGGGGUGGAAUGCGGCCAGCCUGGACUGAGGAUCUCGCUUCGGCUAGGAUGCUGGCGUAAUGGCUGUAAGCGGCCCG